rnacentral:rRNA from 1 species
AUACGUAGGGAGCGAGCGUUGUCCGGAAUUACUGGGUGUAAAGGGAGCGUAGGCGGGAGUGCAAGUCAGAUGUGAAAUACAUGGGCUCAACCCAUGGGCUGCAUUUGAAACUGCAUUUCUUGAGUGAAGUAGAGGUAAGCGGAAUUCCUGGUGUAGCGGUGAAAUGCGUAGAUAUCAGGAGGAACACCGGUGGCGAAGGCGGCUUACUGGGCUUUUACUGACGCUGAGGCUCGAAAGCGUGGGGAGCAAACAGGAUUAGAUACCCUGGUAGUCCACGCUGUAAACGAUGAUUACUAGGUGUGGGGGGACUGACCCCUUCCGUGCCGCAGUUAACACAAUAAGUAGUCCACCUGGGGAGUACGGCCGCAAGGUUGAAACUCAAAUGAAUUGACGGGG